rnacentral:rRNA from 1 species
GACGAACGCUGGUGGCGUGCUUAACACAUGCAAGUCGAACGGGAUUUAGUAAACAGACGCCUCGGUGGAAGAUUACUACUGAGAGUGGCGAACGGGUGAGUAACGCGUGAGCAACCUGCCUAUGACAGUGGGAUAGCCUCGGGAAACCGGGAUUAAUACCGCAUAAAAUCGUAGAAACACAUGUUUUAACGGUCAAAGAUUUAUCGGUCAUAGAUGGGCUCGCGUCUGAUUAGCUAGUUGGUGAGAUAACAGCCCACCAAGGCGACGAUCAGUAGCCGGUCUGAGAGGAUGAACGGCCACAUUGGAACUGAGACACGGUCCAAACUCCUACGGGAGGCAGCAGUGGGGAAUAUUGCACAAUGGGGGAAACCCUGAUGCAGCGACGCCGCGUGAACGAAGAAGGUAUUCGUAUCGUAAAGUUCUGUCCUAUGGGAAGAUAAUGACAGUACCAUAGAAGAAAGCUCCGGCUAAAUACGUG